rnacentral:rRNA from 1 species
ACAACUUUCAGCAACGGAUCUCUUGGCUCUCGCAUCGAUGAAGAACGCAGCGAAAUGCGAUAAGUAAUGUGAAUUGCAGAAUUCAGUGAAUCAUCGAAUCUUUGAACGCACCUUGCACUCCUUGGGUAUUCCGAGGAGUAUGCCUGUUUGAGUGUCAUUA